UUGGCGACCGGCGCACGGGUGAGUAACGCGUAUGCAACUUACCUAUCAGAGGGGGAUAGCCCGGCGAAAGCCGGAUUAAUACCCCAUGAAACAGGGGUCCCGCAUGGGAAUAUUUGUUAAAGAUUCAUCGCUGAUAGAUAGGCAUGCGUUCCAUUAGGCAGUUGGCGGGGUAACGGCCCACCAAACCGACGAUGGAUAGGGGUUCUGAGAGGAAGGUCCCCCACAUUGGUACUGAGACACGGACCAA
rnacentral:rRNA from 1 species